AGUGAACGCUGGCGGCGUGCUUAACACGUGCAAGUCGAACGAGAACGGGUUAUAGCUUGCUAUAAUUGUCAGCUAAGUGGCGCACGGGUGAGUAAUGUAUAGGUAAUAUGCCUCUUACUAAGGGAUAACAGAUGGAAACGUUUGCUAAUACCUUAUACUCCUUAUUAACAUAAGUUAAUAAGGGAAAGAUUUAUUGGUAAGAGAUUAGCCUGUAUUGUAUCAGUUAGUUGGUGGGAUAAUGGCUUACCAAGACUAUGACACAUAACUGGUUUGAGAGGAUGAUCAGUCACACUGGAACUGAGACACGGUCCAGACUCCUACGGGAGGCAGCAGUGGGGAAUAUUGCACAAUGGACGAAAGUCUGAUGCAGCAACGCCGCGUGGAGGAUGACACAUUUCGGUGCGUAAACUCCCUUUAUAUGAGAAGAUAAUGACGGUAUUAUAUGAAUAAGCACCGGCUAACUCUGUGCCAGCCGCCGCAGUAA
rnacentral:rRNA from 1 species